GACAGAGGGUGCAAACGUUGUUCGGAAUCACUGGGCGUAAAGCGCGUGUAGGCGGCAGUGCAAGUCGGAUGUGAAAUCCCGCGGCUCAACCGUGGAAGUGCACCCGAAACUGCACAGCUAGAGUGUCGGAGAGGAAGGUGGAAUGCUUGGUGUAGAGGUGAAAUUCGUAGAUAUCAAGCGGAACACCGGUGGCGAAGGCGGCCUUCUGGACGACGACUGACGCUGAGACGCGAAAGCGUGGGUAGCAAACAGG
rnacentral:rRNA from 1 species